AACGAACGCUGGCGGCGUGUCUUAAGCAUGCAAGUCGCGCGGCAAGGGGUAGCAAUACCCCCUAGAGCGGCGGACUGGUGAGUAACGCGUGGGUGAUCUGCCCUUGGGUUGGGGAUAGCCAUUAGAAAUAGUGGGUAAUACCGAAUACGUUCGCCGGGCUGUGGCCUGGCGAGGAAAAGCGCUUCGGCGCUGCCCGAGGAUGAGCCCGCGUCCCAUUAGCUAGUUGGUGAGGUAACGGCCCACCAAGGCGAUGAUGGGUAGCCGGCCUGAGAGGGUGUACGGCCACAAUGGGACUGAGAUGCGGCCCAGACGCCUACGGGAGGCAGCAGCUAAGAAUAUUCCGCAAUGGACGAAAGUCUGACGGAGCGACGCCGCGUGGACGAUGAAGGCCGAAAGGUUGUAAAGUCCUUUUGUCGGGGAAGAAUAACCAUGGGAGGGAAUGCCCGUGGGAUGACAUGAACCGACGAAUAAGCCCCGGCUAACUACGUGCCAGCCGCCGCAGUAA
rnacentral:rRNA from 1 species